rnacentral:lncRNA from 1 species
CUGGCAUGGGAAAAGCGCUGAGUCAGACUGUGGAAUACGCCUUAGCCAACGCCCCCGGUGAGGAGGCCUGGAGGGAGGUGCCUGGGUGAGGACUGCAGAUGCCUACAGGAUCGUGGCUGAGUCCUUGACUCCCUGCAGAGACUUCCUGGCAUGGGCUUGGCACAGGUCUGGGGGGGGGGAAGGCAGCUUUCCCUGUUGGGCCUGCCGGGCAAAGGCUUGUCAGUGCCUGGGGCCCCCUCCUGAAGGAUCACACGUAGGACUGUGGCUGGGAGUGGCCUCCUCAGUCUCCACCCCAGCCUUGGGCCCGAUGACUGUGGCUAGUGCACUGGAGGUAGACACCACCUGGCCCCCAAGAAUGGCUGGUGAACCCUGACCUUCCCGUAAAGGACCACGUAGGCACGAAAUGGAGAGGCUGGGGUUGCCGAUGGGGCAAAGAGGAGACAAAACAGGUGGAGAGAGACGCCCGGGCCUGCCAACCAUGAGGGAAGGCCCAGGCCCUACACUCCUCAGAGCAGCAGCAAGACGCCCACUGGCAGAUGUCUCCGUGUGGUGGGGCCAGUUUUGGAGCCUCAUCACAAUGUCCACAGGGUCUCCGAACUGGGAAGGAUCAGGAACACAGUGACUCCCAGAUGACACAGUCAUUAAACAGCCAUGUUGCAGGGAAGAAGUUCUCUCUCAGGAAGAUGAGCAGUGGAAAAGAGCCUGUAUUAUGCUCUCCGCAUCUGCCAGACAAGGGAGGCGGCGGGUGGGGCAGGAGGCCCAGUGGAGGGUGGAACAGUGGGAUGAUAUGGAGAAUCAGCUCCUGUGAGCCUGGGGGCUUCCUCAGGAACUUGAAUCCCCAGCCCAGCCAGACCCCCUGGCCGACUUUCCCGUACCAACCACUUUGGCUUCCGUGCUGCCACUUUUGGGCCAUCCGUGCUGGGGGUACUUUCCCAUCGAUUGAGCCCUCGAAGGGGCCUCAUGGGCUCCUCACAGCACAGCCUCUGCCAAUAUCAACAGCCGCAGCAGCCACAUCCUGACAGCAACCACCACCUUGAGGAAUGGAAUCUUCUUCUGCCAUGUCUCCGAUACUAACCUAGGCACCUGUGUCUUACAGAGGAUUUUUAUGUUGUUUCCCAGUUCAAAGGCCUGUCUGAAAGAUGCUCUUUGGAUUUCAAAAAUACUGGGUUAAAAUUUCUGACACAGUAAAGCAGAAUACUUGAUAUUGUGUAUGUAUAAAAAAUUCUGAGUGCACUGCUGCUAUAGAUGAAUGACUCUUGUCCUUAUUGAUAUACAUAAUUAGUAAACCCGACACCAGUGUUGAUUCAGCAUGGUGGGCCUUCGGGGCUGGGUAACUGGGUGGAGGGACAUCCCCCGGUCUCUCAAGCAGCUCUGAGGGGUGUGCGCCUCUGGCUGUGCAGGCCCACAAGCUCAAGCCGGCAGCGGGCAGGCACAGUUCAAGUUCAACCACGAGCAAAGGGUCCGGCAUUGGAACCCCGUGUCCGCUCCAAUGCUCAGAUUCUUCAGGGCACUCUCUUCCUCUCCUUUCCUCACAAGAGCCAGACACCUACUCAUUUCUUCACUCUGUACUUCCCUUUGUUCCUUCAACUCUUAAGCAGGAAAAAUUUUGUUUCUUAAGUAAUUGCAUUGAGAUAUCACCAGUGGAUGCUGGAGCCAGCUUGCUCCAGCUCCUGAAACCUAAGUGCUAAAUUUUCAGGGGUCUUGGGAGCCAGUUGUUAACACAGAAAUCAUUAAAAAUUAAACGUUAAAAACUUACUAUUAGAUGAAUUGUAUUAAAAUGAAGGGAAAAAAUACUCAAACUUGUCACUUGCAGCUCAUUCACAUUUGACUGCAUUUAUGCUCGCAAG